rnacentral:rRNA from 1 species
AUUACCGCGGCUGCUGGCACAGAGUUAGCCGGUGCUUAUUCUGCAGCUAAUGUCAUCGUCCAUGGGUAUUAACCAUGGAGUCUUCUUCACUGCUUAAAGUGCUUUACAACCAAAAGGCCUUCUUCACACACGCGGCAUGGCUGGAUCAGGGUUGCCCCCAUUGUCCAAUAUUCCCCACUGCUGCCUCCCGUAGG